rnacentral:rRNA from 1 species
GGCGUCAGGACGAACGCUGGCGGCGUGCUUCAUACAUGCAAGUCGAACGAGAAGCUGACUUCGGUCAGUGGAAAGUGGCGGACGGGUGAGUAAUAUGUAGGAAAUCUGCCCUAGAGAGGGGGACAACAGAGGGAAACUUCUGCUAAUACCCCAUAUGAGCUUAGUUGAAAUACUAAUCUUGAAAACUCCGGUGCUCCAGGAUGAGCCUGCAUCUGAUUAGCUAGUUGGCGGUGUAAUGGACCACCAAGGCGACGAUCAGUAGCUGGUUUGAGAGGAUGAUCAGCCACAAUGGGACUGAGACACGGCCCAUACUCCUACGGGAGGCAGCAGUAGGGAAUUUUGCGCAAUGGGCGAAAGCCCUGACGCAGCAACGCCGCGUGAACGAUUAAGCCCUUCGGGGUGUAAAGUUCUGUCAGUGGGGACGAAUUUUGACGGUACCCACAGAGGAAGCACCGGCUAACUCCGUGCCAGCCGCAGC